rnacentral:pre_miRNA from 1 species
AGUAUGAUUGCUGGAUUGUAUGGUGAGAGUAUGUUUAGUUUUGUAAAGAACUGCCAAACUAUCUUCCAAAGUGGCUGUACCAUUUUACAUUCCCACCAGCAAU